AACCUUGAUUCUGGAUGCCAGCCUCUCUACCUUAUUUGCAGCCUCAAUUUUAUAACUUCUGUAGUCUAAAUUUCAUGCUUCUUCCUCUCACCAACAUUCUCCAGUUUUCACUUCUCCCUAUAUGUCUACACUCCUUUCCUUCAGCAUUCAGUCCUUGCCAAAGAUUAGAGAUCUGUAAUCUUUCAAAUCUACAAAUGUAGAUUAUUUUCUUUAAAAUUUUACUAUCAUAUUUCUCUCUCCUUCUUUUGUAAUAUACCUCAUAGUUGAAUUUUACCCUUUUAUCCUUGUUUUUUUUAUUGUCUUACU
rnacentral:lncRNA from 1 species